GAUGAACGCUGGCGGCGUGCCUAAUACAUGCAAGUCGAGCGAACAGACGCGGCGCUUGCUCCUCUGACGAUAGCGGCGGACGGGUGAGUAACACGUGGAUAACCUACCUAUAAGACUGGGAUCACUUCGGGAAACCGGAGCUAAUACCGGAUAAUAUAUUGAACCGCAUGGGUCAAUGGUGAAUGACGGUUUUGCGGUCACUUAUCGAUGCAUCUGCGCCGCAUUAGCUAGUUGGUAAGGUAACGGCUUACCAAGGCAACGAUGCGUAGCCGACCUGAGAGGGUGAUCGGCCACACUGGAACUGAGACACGGUCCAGACUCCUACGGGAGGCAGCAGUAGGGAAUCUUCCGCAAUGGGCGAAAGCCUGACGGAGCAACGCCGCGUGAGUGAUGAAGGUCUUCGGAUCGUAAAACUCUGUUAUUAGGGAAGAACAAAUGUGUAAGUAACUAUGCACGUCUUGACGGUACCUAAUCAGAAAGCCACGGCUAACUACGUG
rnacentral:rRNA from 1 species